rnacentral:tRNA from 2 species
GCCCGGGUGGCGAAAUUGGUAGACGCAAGGGACUUAAAAUCCCUCGGUUUCACGACCGUGCCGGUUCGAGUCCGGCCCUGGGCA